CCUAGCCUCCCAGCCUACCUCUUUCUCUCAUGCUGGAUGCUUCCUGACCUUGAACAUCAGACUCCAAGUUCUUCAGUUUUGGAACUUGGACUGGCUCUCCUUGCUCCUCAGCCUGCAGUUGGCCUGUUGUGGGACCUUGUGAUCGUAAAUCAUAAUGAAAAGAAAACGUGACCUCUAAAAGAAACUCUACAAAGCAAAGGCAAGAGCAAGUGGAGAGUACAUCUAAAUACAGAAAAAAAAUCAUACUAUUUACGAGUUAGAAUGGGAAGGUUGAUCUCCCAACGGAAGACCAGCCUCCAAUUAAUGGGAUCAUUCCGUCUUUUUUUUUUUUUUUUUUUUAAGCACUGCUGCACUUAACAGCUGUCAGCGAUAAACUUACCUGUGUUCUGGAACUUCAAGGGAGAAAAAUAAAACAAAUUUCCCAAGUUACUCUAGCUUGCAAUUCAACAGAGAAGUGCAAGUUACUGCUUGGUUUCAUUUUGUUUGCUUUGUUUUGUUUCUAGCUAUUUCUGCUCUCCAAAUAUCCCCAGCUUCCAACUCAUACAAAACCCACACGUAUAGUUGAAAAACCACUGUAGGAUGGCCAAGCAAGUUUCCAACAUAAAACAUGGCUGGGAAUGCUUGCUGCUGUGUGAGCUAAGGAGCA
rnacentral:lncRNA from 1 species